rnacentral:lncRNA from 1 species
GGACUUCUAGACAUGAACAAGGGCCUCAGCCUGCAACACAUAGGCCGGCCCCACAGCGGCAUUGGGUCUGCACUGGCCUGCCUGGAUAGUGCCUGGGGAGAGGGUGCUGGCUCCUUCCUUCCUGAGCUGACCCCCUUGGAGCCCCAGAGACAUCUGAGGAAUUGGUUCUUGCCAGACACCAGACUGUUCUUCAGUAGCAACCAUAGAUGGAAGAAUGGCUAGAUGGAUGGACGACUGCAAGAACAUUGCCAACAUCAUGAAGACACUCGCCUAUCGAGGCUUCAUCUUCAAGCAGACAUCGAAGCCGUUCUGAUUGGCCGAGGACAGGAUGGGGCAGGACAGGGUAGCUGUUUGGCCCAGCCCAGAA